GUGCCAGCCGCCGCGGUAAUACGAAGGGUGCAAGCGUUACUCGGAAUUACUGGGCGUAAAGCGUGCGUAGGUGGUUGUUUAAGUCUGUCGUGAAAGCCCUGGGCUCAACCUGGGAAUUGCGAUGGAUACUGGGCAACUAGAGUGUGGUAGAGGGUGGCGGAAUUCCCGGUGUAGCAGUGAAAUGCGUAGAGAUCGGGAGGAACAUCCGUGGCGAAGGCGGCCACCUGGGCCAACACUGACACUGAGGCACGAAAGCGUGGGGAGCAAACAGGAUUAGAUACCCUGGUAGUCCACGCCCUAAACGAUGCGAACUGGAUGUUGGGUUCAACUUGGAACCCAGUAUCGAAGCUAACGCGUUAAGUUCGCCGCCUGGGGAGUACGGUCGCAAGACUGAAACUCAAAUGAAUUGGCGG
rnacentral:rRNA from 1 species